rnacentral:tRNA from 2 species
GGUGGAGUAACACAACGGUUGAUGUGCCUGACUGUUAAUCAGAGACAAGUAGGUUCGACUCCUACCUCCACCGCCA